GACGAACGCUGGCGGCGUGCCUAAUACAUGCAAGUUGAGCGCUGAAGGUUGGUACUUGUACCAACUGGAUGAGCAGCGAACGGGUGAGUCACGCGUGGGGAAUCUGCCUGUGAGCGGGGGACAACAUUUGGAAACGAAUGCUAAUACCGCAUAAAAACUAUAAACACAAGUUUUAAGUUAGAAAGUUGCAAUUGCAUCACUCAAAGAUGAUCCCGCGUUGUAUUAGCUAGUUGGUGAGGUACAGACUCACCAAGGCGAUGAUACAUAGCCGACCUGAGAGGGUGAUCGGCCACAUUGGGACUGAGACACGGCCCAAACGCCUACGGGAGGCAGCCGUAGGGAAUCUUCGGCAGUGGAAGAAAGUCUGACUGAGCAACGCCGCGUGAGUGAAGAAGGUUUUCGGAUCGUAAAACUCUGUUGGUAGAGAAGAGCGUUGGUGAGAGUGGAAAGCUCAACAAGUGACGGUAACUACCCAGAGAGGGACGGCUAACUACGUG
rnacentral:rRNA from 1 species